ensembl:lncRNA
UGCAAAACUAGUUUGUCAUAGACAAUUACAAUGCUGGGAAAUGUGAUCAUAAGUUCCCAAGACCAUCAGCACUUUUGUUUCAGUUUAAAUAAUAACAAUAAAGCCUCAAAUACAUUUUCACUGUUGGGCUUAAUUCCUACCAGUAUCUUUAGCAAUUUAUUCACUGGAGUUUUCACUUUUCUGGGGAAAAAUAACAGCAAGAACUAAUUUAGUUUUGAGUAUAUAAGUAAUAUAAUUAGCUGUGCAAGUAGUUUUAUUUAAACAGUCAGAAAAUCUAUGGUGUUGAAAAUAAGCUCAUUCAUUACACUUUUGCUCAGAUGGUUUGUCUUCAGAAUUACAGAUUUUGCGACGCUUACUAGUUUUCCCCAUUUUGCCUCAGGAAAGCCAACAACAGCCUUCUUUAUUUUUUAGGGCAAAAGGGCACAAAGCAGGUCAGACAGCCAAGUCUGGACAACAUCUAUUUAUCUGGGUUUUCCUGUGUAAUAAUAAAUUGUCUCCAUCUAAGGCAGGGGGAGCAGCAAAGACUCCACAGUGUGUAGCAGGAAAGUCAGUGACAACAACUGUUACAUUAAUUAUGUUAGCUUACAGAAAAAAGAGGAGGAUUUUGGUGGAGGUGGGUUACAAAGCGGCUUGCAGUUGGUGAAACAAUUGCAGGAAGCCUUAAAAGGUGCCUCCUGGGAGCAUAUAUAUGCACAUACUGGUUUUUUCUACCUAACCUCAUUUUUACUCUUCUUUCUUUCUCUUUUUAAAUCACUGUUGUGUUUACAGAUUUCUGCUCAUAGUAUACGGCCCUUACCAGGCAUCUGUGGCACUGUCUGUUUUUCAUUUGUACUACUUUUCAGUCUUUAUCAUGCUCCUGUAACACAACAAUUUAUCUUUUGGGAUCAAUAAGCUCUUCACAGUGAGCCGUUUCCUGAGACAAGGCUUUGAAGUGGAUGAGGGAGGUGAGACACCGUGCGCCCAGCUGCCCAGCCGCUGUGGUUAAGGGGUCUUUAUCACGCAGACAAGGGGGACAGCACUCAGCUCUUGCCCUUCUAUCUUUCACCGCGGCAGAAGAGUGAUUUUGACAACCAGCGCACCCCAGCUGCGCAGGGGCCAGGCCUGCGAAACCACAGGCGGAUAAUGAAUGCCACACCAUCGUGACAACUUGCACUUUUAUGGAAAGGGGAGGAAGGACACUUGUGCUCACAGCGUAUGAUGGGACGUCCCCCAUAAACCAGACAAUCAAAGCGAGGGCAGAUAAGCAUCUGUGGAAUCUGUGACGGGAACCUCCGCUGAUUUAUGGGCACUACUGGAAAAGGUUUGUUUCCAAGUGAACGUGUUUAGAGGUAACCAAAGAAGAAAUACAACUUUCCCAAUGCAACCACGGCAUCUGUAAAUGAUAAACCACAGUCGCAUUAUCCAUGAUCUUCCUUGCUUUCCUGAGCUGAACAAGCCACAUGCUAUUUAUGAAGAACUUCCUCCAAAAUGAGAAGACUUGAGGUUUUCCAAUUAGGUCAGAUUGCUAUUCUUGGUGACUCUCACAGUCGUGUUAUUUGUAUUCUGUACAUCAGAGGGAUAAUACAUCCAUUUGCUUUCAAGGCAAACAUUACUAGAAAAGGAGCAGCUUUGAUCUUCUUCCAAUAGACACG